UACGAAGGGGGCUAGCGUUGCUCGGAAUCACUGGGCGUAAAGGGUGCGUAGGCGGGUCUUUUAAGUCAGGGGUGAAAUCCUGGAGCUCAACUCCAGAACUGCCUUUGAUACUGAAGAUCUUGAGUUCGGGAGAGGUGAGUGGAACUGCGAGUGUAGAGGUGAAAUUCGUAGAUAUUCGCAAGAACACCAGUGGCGAAGGCGGCUCACUGGCCCGAGUACUGACGCUGAUGCACGAAAGCGUGGGGAGCAAACAGG
rnacentral:rRNA from 1 species